GGCGUGCAAAUAUCAAGGAUUCAAAUUUCAAAUAUGAAAUUAUUACUCCCAUAAUGAGCACAAACCAUAUGGGGAUUCAAAUCAAGCAUAUAUUACCAUCCUAAACCUCAAGCAAUCCGUAUAGGAUUCCAAUGCACCAUACGAUUUAUUUCCAUAAUGGGAACAAGCCGUGUGAGAAUUCAAAAACAAGAAGUUAUGAUGAGGUUCUUUCCUUUCCUGGAAAUUCAAUGAACCUAGACCAACCUUGGGCGUGUGCAUCAUCUUGGCCAAGCCAAAUCAAAGGGAGGGCCAUCAACACAUGUGAAACACAACUUUAAGAUCAUUGGCGUAGCGCCUUGCCUUAGUUCUUAUCAAGGAUCUUCCUUGUGGCGAACCUCUUUAACUUAUCAAGUUACUUUUCUUGUGGCACCAAAAUCUUCAUCUUUUUCCACGUUCUUUUAUCCAACAUAAACACAUAAAAAUUCAUAAACACAAAAUAAGCCCCAAUUGAGCCCAAACACUAAAUCCACACACA
rnacentral:lncRNA from 1 species